rnacentral:tmRNA from 1 species
GGGGACGCAUUUGAUUCGACGGAUCAUUUACAUUUAGGCGAAACGCAGACCGAGAAGUUCGGCCAACUCGCUUGCCCUUCCAUAGCCCUUGGCGAAGGAGGGUAAAAGUUCCGAACAAUAAUACGUGCAAACGUAUUCAAAUUUGAUGGUGCUUUGGCACCCGCUAUGGCGUAAGUUAUAGCUGCUUCCUUGCGAAAGAAUCGCAAGCAUCGGACCAUGAUGCCUCUUGGUGGGUUCCCGGUGUUAUAUCGAGGCUGGACUCUCGCCAACCGGUAACGGGAGCGACGAAUACCGGAAACGAUCGCUGAGUAUGUUGCAGGAUGUGAAGCUCGCGAUUCGUACAUAAUCCUGCUAUGUCUGUAAUCAUCGUUUUGUUUAGAUGAAGAUUCGGACGAGGAGUCACUCUCCUCCGUCUCCAUUA